GAUGAAGAACGCAGCGAAAUGCGAUAAGUAAUGUGAAUUGCAGAAUUCAGUGAAUCAUCGAAUCUUUGAACACACAUUGCGCCCGCCAGUAUUCUGGCGGGCAUGCCUGUUCGAGCGUCAUUUCAACCAUCAAGCCCCCGGCUUGUGUUGGGGACCUGCGGCUGCCGCAGGCCCUGAAAACCAGUGGCGGGCUCGCUAGUCACUCCGAGCGUAGUAAUACAUCUCGCUCAGGGCGUGCUGCGGGUUCCGGCCGUUAAAAAGCCUUAUUUACCCAAGGUUGACCUCGGAUCAGGUAGGAAGACCCGCUGAACUUAAGCAUAUCAAUAAGCGGAGGA
rnacentral:misc_RNA from 1 species